rnacentral:rRNA from 1 species
CCUACGGGAUGCAGCAGUGAGGAAUAUUGGUCAAUGGACGAGAGUCUGAACCAGCCAAGUAGCGUGAAGGAUGACUGCCCUAUGGGUUGUAAACUUCUUUUAUAUGGGAAUAAAAUGUUCCACGUGUGGGAUUUUGUAUGUACCAUAUGAAUAAGGAUCGGCUAACUCCGUGCCAGCAGCCGCGGUAAUACGGAGGAUCCGAGCGUUAUCCGGAUUUAUUGGGUUUAAAGGGAGCGUAGGUGGAUUGUUAAGUCAGUUGUGAAAGUUUGCGGCUCAACCGUGAAAUUGCAGUUGAAACUGGCAGUCUUGAGUACAGUAGAGGUGGGCGGAAUUCGUGGUGUAGCGGUGAAAUGCUUAGAUAUCACGAAGAACUCCGAUUGCGAAGGCAGUUCACUGGACUGCAACUGACACUGAGGCUCGAAAGUGUGGGUAUCAAACAGGAUUAGAUACCCCAGUAGUC